ACCAAAUCGAAAAUGCUGACUUGUGUGUUAGGAUGGUCUGUCAGCUUAAAGAAUAGUUAAACAUAGAGCUAGGCAAUUCAAGAAAAAGAGGGCAAAAAGGCGAAUGUCAUUGUUGUGUUUAACGUUUUGAUUUAUGAAAACUACAAUUCAGAUGAGAGUCACGUGUCCAACUUCCUACUUUCUGUGCCAUAUUAAACUUAACGUUCCGUGCAGUCACUGUUGUGUGUCACUUGUGCAGUUAAAUAAUAAUGUAAUAUAUUAGUGUGCUGUAACUACAUGCUUUCAUCAGUUUAUAACAGUUUAAUGCUUCCUGCUCGCCCAGCCUCUCCUUUGAUCUGAGUUUCCACUUCAGAACAAACCUGGAUUUUUCCGAUGUCCCUGGCGCAGCCCACCACUUUCAUACCGAGUCGGACCAGCUCCACGGCUAUAGUCGCCCCAAUCCCGACCGAGGCUCCGGUCACCAGAGCCACUCUGCCCCGCCAGCGCUCCAUCACAGCCCGGUAACCUGCUACAUGGACGAAAGCACCUCAAGUAUGAAGACAGGGACGCUAAGUCUGAAGAAAACGGACUCCGGAGCUCCAACUGUCUUGUACUCGUGAACACGCGAUGCUUUUAAACACAUCAUAUGCCUGUGUGCUGCGUUCACGUCAUCAGCAAACUGUAGGAAAACAGUUGAAUCGGUUCUUUUGUUAAUUCAAGUAAAAACUAUACUAUGAUAUGCUUACUUGCAUUCAUGAAAAUAAAACCUAAUUCUAUCGCA